AUGUGCAGUACCAAAGGCCCACCUCUCAGCCAUAGACCGCAGAGCGGCUGUCCGGCUAGCAAGAGCAAAAGCCGGAGAUCACCCCACACGAAAUAUGUCCGUGAAGAGAAACGCUUCUGGCAGCCCGACCGUUUCCUUUACAAAUAUCUGCUCGGUCGAAUCGGCUCCCAUACUCUGAGUAUUGUACACUCCACUUCGCGGCCCACUCUCAGCCACAGACCGCAGAGCGGCUGUCCGGCAAGCGAGAGCACAAGCCAAAGAACAGAGGAAACACGGAAAAGAUUAAGGGGGCUCGGACGAAACCGAGUCGGCACCCUCCACAUAAAACUUGCAAUGCUUAACACAAACAUUUGA
rnacentral:rRNA from 1 species